rnacentral:rRNA from 1 species
GACGAACGCUGGCGGCGUGCCUAAUACAUGCAAGUUGAGCGAUGAAGAUUGGUGCUUGCACCAAUUUGAAGAGCAGCGAACGGGUGAGUAACGCGUGGGGAAUCUGCCUUUGAGCGGGGGACAACAUUUGGAAACGAAUGCUAAUACCGCAUAACAACUUUAAACAUAAGUUUUAAGUUUGAAAGAUGCAAUUGCAUCACUCAAAGAUGAUCCCGCGUUGUAUUAGCUAGUUGGUGAGGUAAAGGCCCACCAAGGCGAUGAUACAUAGCCGACCUGAGAGGGUGAUCGGCCACAUGGGAGCUGGGACACGGCCCAAACUCCUGCGAGAGGCAGCAGUAGGGAAUCUUCGGCAAUGGACGAAAGUCUGACCGAGCAACGCCGCGUGAGUGAAGAAGGUUUUCGGAGCGUAAAACUCUGUUGGUAGAGAAGAACGGUGGUGAGAGUGGAAAGCUCAUCAAGUGACGGUAACUACCCAGAAAGGGACGGCUAACUACGUG